UCAUCGCAAACCACCAUGAAUCGACCAGAAUUCACCAUGAAAUGUUUCACGCACACAGAUUCGGUGCGUACAUGGUGAAAUCGUACCAGAAUGAGCUAGAAAUAUGUGAAAUCGCACGGCCAAUCGCCAUGGAUCACCUUCUUCUUUGGAUACACGUCGUCGCACGAUUCUCUCUCUAGUUUUCAAUCGAGCAGACCGUCAGCCACUUAGACUCCUUGGCUCGUCGCGAGAGCCGUACAUCGUCACUGACCG
rnacentral:lncRNA from 1 species